rnacentral:rRNA from 1 species
GACGAACCGUGCGAACGUUGUUCGGAUUCACUGGGCUUAAAGGGCGCGUAGGCGGGCCGUCAAGUCGGGGGUGAAAUCUUUCAGCUUAACUGAAAAAGAGCCUUCGAUACUGGCAGUCUGGAGGAAGGUAGGGGCAUGUGGAACUUCCGGUGGAGCGGUGAAAUGCGUAGAUAUCGGAAGGAACGCCGGUGGCGAAAGCGACGUACUGGACCUCUUCUGACGCUGAGGCGCGAAAGCUAGGGGAGCAAACGGG